UUUUUGGUCUAAUUUCUUGUUUCACAGGAAAACAUAUUUUGAAUCUUCAAAGUGGUAGGCAUGUUGUGCAAAUCAAAUGAUACAACCCCCCCUAAAAGACUAUUCCAGGUUGUAAGGCAAAAUAGUGGAAAAUGCAAAGGGGGGUGAAUACUUUAUCAAUCCACUGUAUAGGUCAUUAUAAUUACUAUCAUAAUAAUUUAUUUAAGAAGUUUUGCAAAUCAUAUGUGAAAAAAAGGGAAGAAAAUUGACACCAUUUCUCAAUUAUCUUUCUGCCAAAGAAUGGGUUCCCAACUUGAGAUACAAAUCAAUCAAUCAUUCAUUUAUUUAUUCAUUCAAACAGCUACAUGGAUGACAGGACCAAUAAAGUAAUUGAAGCUGAUGUGAUCCAGGUCACUGACGCCACCAGUUCAGUGGCGAUUGAGUCAGUUGGAUUUCAGAGAAGGUUGAACAGCAUUCUGACAGAGGGUCUACCUGUAUCAACUACUGAUCGGUAACCAUCAAUCAGAAAAAGUCAUGCGAGAAGAGUACCCUACUAUCCAACAUGAGCUGGAUUGCUGGCAUGUUUCAAAGGGAAUAAAACUCAUAUGGAAGUCUCUUCUACCUACCACGUACAAUUGGACUGAAAAUGGAGUGCAGUACAGCUGCUCCCAUGAAGACGCCUCAGAAGACAAGCAGAGAUGGAAGAGGUGGAAAUCCAGUACAACUGGGGACAAUUUGUCUUUCUUCCCCCAGGGGAGCUUGAGUCGUACCACAGUAGCAUGCUCAAGUACACUCGGAAGCGACUGCAUUUUCGUCCCCUCUCCAUGGUCCCGAGAACCCAACUGGCUAUAAUGGACCACAAUGAAAAAUUGGGCAGGAAACAACCUACAACUGCCACAGAACCUGAGCCCUAGGACCAUACGUCAGGACUACCGGGCAUGCUGACACCUUGCUGUCCCCAGUCCGCCCGGCCUUGCUGCUAUUCCAGUUUCAACUGUUUCUGCCUGCGGUUACGAAACCCCCACCUGUCCCAGACCUGCUGUUUUCAACUCUUAAUGAUCGGCUAUGAAAAGCCAACUGAGAUUUAUUCCUGAUUAUUAUUUGACCAUGCUUGUCAUUUAUGAACAUUUUGAAAAUCUUGGCUCUCUCUAAUUUUCUCCUUCUCUCUUUCUUUCUCUCGGAGGACCUGAGCCCUAGGACCAUACGUCGGGACUACCGGCCAUGGUGACUCCUUGCUGCCCUCAGUCCGCCUGGCCUUGCUGCUAUUCCAGUUUCAACUCUUCUGCCUGCGGUUAUGGAACCCCUACCUGUCCCAGACCUGCUGUUUUCAACUCUUAAUGAUCGGCUAUGAAAAGCCAACUGAGAUUUAUUCCUGAUUAUUAUUUGACCAUGCUUGUCAUUUAUGAACAUUUUGAAAAUCUUGGCUCUCUCUAAUUUUCUCCUUCUCUCUUUCUUUCUCUCGGAGGACCUGGGCCCUAGGACCAUGCGUCGGGACUGCCGCCCGUGGUGACUCCUUGCUGUCCCCAGUCCGCCUGGCCUUGCUGCUAUUCCAGUUUCAGCUGUUCUGCCUGCGGUUAUGGAACCGCCACCUGUCCCAGACCUGUUGUUUUUCAACUCUUAAUGAUCAGCUAUGAAAAGCCAACUGAAAAUUAUUCAUGAUUAUUAUUUGACCAUGCUUGUCACUUAUGAACAUUUUUGAACAUCUUGGCAUAGUUCUGUUAUAAUCUCCACCCGGCACAGCCAGAAGAGGACUGGCCACCCCUCAUAGCCUGGUUCCUCUCUAGGUUUCUUCCUAGGUUUUGGCCUUUCUAGGGAGUUUUUCCUAGCCACCGUGCUUCUACACCUGCAUUCUAGCUGUUUGGGGUUUUAGGCUGGGUUUCUGUACAGCACUUCGAGAUAUUAUCUGAUGUACGAAGGGCUAUAUAAAAUAAAAUUGAUUGAUUGAUUGAUUGAUUGAUGAUCUUCAUAUGUUUGCAGUCACAAGAUUCCAUGUUACACAAUAAAUGUUUGUUUUGUUCGAUAAAGUCCCUCUUUAUGUCCCAAAAACUCAAUUUUGUUGGCGCGUUUUGUUCAGUA